GGCGUGGCUAAGACAUGCAAGUCGAACGGUGUGUAGCAAUACACCAGUGGCGGACGGGUGAGUAAUGUAUCGCUAAUGUGCCCCGGACACUGGGAUAGCCGGCCGAAAGGUCGGGUAAUACCAGAUGACGCAACAAGGUCGCAUGGCCUUGUUUUCAAAGGAGCAAUCCGGUCUGGGAGCAGGCGAUAUCGUAUCAGCUAGUUGGUAGGGUAACGGCCUACCAAGGCGACGACGCGUAGCUGGUCUGAGAGGACGACCGGCCACAUCGGGAUUGAGACACUGCCCGGACUCCUACGGGGGGCUGCAGUAACGAAUCUUCCGCAAUGCACGAAAGUGUGACGGAGCGACGCCGCGUGGAGGACGAAGUUCUUCGGAAUGUAAACUCCUGUCAGGGGUUAGAAAGUUCUGAUCAACCCCAGAGGAAGGCACGGCUAACUCUGUGCCAGCAGCCGCGGUAAGACAGAGGUGCCGAGCGUUAGGCGGAAUCACUGGGCUUAAAGCGUGUGUAGGCGGGUGCCUAAGUACCUUGUGAAAUCCCACGGCUUAACCGUGGAACUGCUGGUAUACUGGGUAUCUUGAGCCACCUAGAGGCAACCGGAACAAACGGUGGAGCGGUGAAAUGCGUAGAUAUCGUUUGGAACGCCAAUGGUGAAAACAGGU
rnacentral:rRNA from 1 species